AGCUUGCCCUGCCUCACAACACCAACAGCCCAUCCAAAGACUCCCAGAGGACUACACAACGGCAAACACUACCACGAUGGCUCUCAGUGCAAGUAGCGCAGGCUUGGUGGUGCUGUGCCUCGCCUCUCUCCUCCUCAUCUCAUCACUUGCUGAUGAAGCCUCCGGAGCCCUUGAUGCUGGGAAGAAUAUGACAUCAGGAGGGGUCGUGGAUGCGGACUACCCAACAUACGGUCCACCAACAUACGGCGCAGUGAAUAGAAUAGCGGCUAGAUGUGUUCUUGUAGUUUUAUGUUGUAUGUUUUCUUUUCUUUUCUGAACCUUCUGUUUCAAUUUUAAAAGCAGGGCGGACCGCCGAGUUUAUGGAGAAUGUAAGUAAAUAAAAUGAUCAGGACAUAGCAUGGAUGCGCGUCUAGCAGCAGGCAUGUCUAUUGUAAUCGAUCAAAGCAUAUAUUCCUCGAUUCUCAGGCUCCAGCCUCCAGAUAUACCUCCAACAUGUCAAAUCUUGUAGACUAUAAUAAAAGUGCUUUUCUUAA